GGCGCCAUCCAUUGUCAACCCAAAGAUGAGGGCAACGAUUAUGAGCGGCACUGCAGAACUAAACAGCCUCUUAAGCGGCGAAAGCAGGUGCGAUCGAUAAAGCAUUUUAAUGAAUUCUCUGAGCGCGAGGCAUGGUUUGAGUUAUGAUUUCCCGGCUACUUUAGGCUCGAGAGAUCCGGCCGUCGGAAGGCGCAGUAGAUUCAUCGUCACCAGAACGGUCGCACCGGUAUCGGCUAAAAUGGCUGGCCACAAACCGGUCA
rnacentral:misc_RNA from 1 species